GGGCCGUUGGCGCAAUUGGUUAGCGCAGUCCGCUCAUAACGGACCGGUUCAGAGUUCGAGCCUCUGGCGGCCCACCA
rnacentral:tRNA from 1 species